UUCUUAUAACAAUCCUACAACUUAGUCAUUGUAUUUCCAGUUUAUAGACGAAGAAGCAAAGGGAUUGAAGAACUUACCCAAGGUUAUAUCGCCAUUAAAUGGAAGAAUCUAGAUCAAAACUCAGAGCAGAAUAAUAACAUUAUCCUAAAUCUGGAUAGUGCUUUACAAAGUGCUUCCAAAUUCGCGAUUUAACUUGCUGCUCCUGAGAACUGUGUGAAGAGGUAUUAGUAUUUUUUAACCUCUUUUUCUGAGGACAAAGUAAGGCCUAGAAAGGUUAAAUGACUUGUCCAGAAUGAGACCUCUGGUGAACUGCAGAACAAGGACUAAAAGGGCAGAAAGAAACUCUUAUCCAGGAGAUGGAGACCCUCUUACUGUCGUCGAGAAUGAGCAUCUCUUGGAGUCUGUGUAUGCGAUGGAAGCACUGAAAGUAAGGGAUUAUUAACUACAAGCUUUUGUUAUUCUGUAAUUUGGAUGGAGCAUUUGAGUUUAACGAGGUGAGCUUCCAUGCUUGGGGAACCAGAAUGCUUCCACAUGCAACUGAGCAGAGCCCUGAGCUCCUUGAGGACAAAGCUCCUUUGUUCAGGAUCUCACUCUGCAUCCUUCAUUUGGCUGUUGAUUUGCAUCCUUUAUCAUAUCCUGUAAUAAACUGGUAAAUGUAA